CACGUAGUUAGCCGGACCUUUCUGGUUAAGUACCGUCAAUUACGAUUCAUUUCCUAAUCGUACCUUUCUUCCUUAACAACAGAACUUUACAUAUCGAAAUACUUCUUCGUUCACGCGGCAUUGCUCGGUCAGGGUUGCCCCCAUUGCCGAAUAUCCCUAACUGCUGCCUCCCGUAGGAGUCUGGACCGUGUCUCAGUUCCAGUGUGGCCGAUCAGCCUCUCAGCUCGGCUACGCAUCGUCGCCUUGGUGAGCCGUUACCUCACCAACUAGCUAAUACGAAGCAGGACCCUCCUAGAGUGGUGCACACGCACCUUUAAAUACAUGAUCAUGCGAUCCCGUAUACUAUCCGGUAUUAGCAUCCGUUUCCAGAUGUUAUCCCCGUCUCUAGGGUAGGUUUCCUACCUGUUACUCACCCGUUGCCACUCUUCCAUAAUAGCAAGCUAUUAUUUCAGCGUUCGACUUGCAUGUCUUAGGCAUGCCGCCAGCGUUCAUCCUGAGCC
rnacentral:rRNA from 1 species